CACGGACCAAGGAGUCUAACAUGUGCGCGAGUCAUUGGGUCUUGAUUAGGCCCAAAGGCGUAAUGAAAGUGAAGGGCGGUUCGGCCGUCUGCCUUGGGAUCCCGUGGACCUCGCGUUCGCGGGCGCACCAAGGGCCCGUCCCGGUCGCCUCGUCGACGGGGCGGAGCAAGAGCGUACACGUUGGGACCCGAAAGAUGGUGAACUAUGCCUGGGCAGGACGAAGCCAGAGGAAACUCUGGUGGAGGUCCGCAGCGAUUCUGACGUGCAAAUCGAUCGUCAGACCUGGGUAGGGGCGAAAGACUAAUCGAACCAUCUAGUAGCUGGUUCCCUCCGAAGUUUCCCUCAGGAUAGCUGGCGCUCGGAGGAUGCAGUCUCAUCCGGUAAAGCGAAUGAUUAGAGGCCUUGGGGUCGAAAAGACCUCAACCUAUUCUCAAACUUUAAAUGGGUGAGAAGUCCGGUUUGCUCGACUGAAGCCCGGACGGCAACUUGGAUGCGAGUGCCAAGUGGGCCACUUUUGGUAAGCAGAACUGGCGCUGUGGGAUGAACCAAACGCCGGGUUAAGGGGCCCGAUGCGAGACGCUCAUGAGAUCCCAUGAAAGGUGUUGGUUGCUAUAGACAGCAGGACGGUGGCCAUGGAAGUCGGAAUCCGCUAAGGAGUGUGUAACAACUCACCUGCCGAAGCAACUAGCCCUGAAAAUGGAUGGCGCUUCAGCGUCGACCCCAUACCCGGCCGCCGCGGCCGAAAAGCCUCGUGUUUUAAGCCGCGGUGAGUAGGAGGGGCGCGGAGGCGAGCGUCGAAGGUGCCGGGCGUAAGCCCGCCUGGAGCCGCCUCCGGCGCAGAUCUUGGUGGUAGUAGCAAAUACUCAAGUGAGAACCUUGAGGACUGAGGUGGAGAAGGGUUCCAUGUGAACAGCAGUUGAACAUGGGUCAGUCGGUCCUAAGGGAUAGGAGAAAUCCGUUCCGAGGCGGGACCUCCUCAAUUAUUUUUGAAAGUCCCGCUGAUGACCGAAAGGGAAUCGGGUUAAUAUUCCCGAACCCGGAUGCGGAGAUCGUCCUCUUCGGAGGUACAUUGCGGUAACGCAAACGAGCUCGGAGACGUCGACGGGAGCACCGGGAAGAGUUAUCUUUUCUUUGUAAGGAUUCGACUCCCUGGAAUCGGCUCGCCCGGAGAUAGGGAUGGUGUUUCCGUAAAGCACCGCGCCUCUUGCGGUGUCCGGAUCGCUCCCGUCGGCCCUUGAAAAUCCGAGUGAGAGAUAGUGAUUUUCGUGCCGGACCGUACCCAUAUCCGCAGCAG
rnacentral:rRNA from 1 species